UGUCACGAUCUAGUUGGGGGAUGGGUGGGGGCUUUGGAGGGGGCGGGUUCCAGGUGAAGUUAGGUACAACUUAAAAGUAAAGUGUGGUUACGUAAUCCCUCCGAAAUGCCCGUUACAGAAACCUUGACACCUCACUCUGCAUUUAUAUCGUCAAUAAGCCACUGCAUACAUUCUAAUUCAUAUUACUAAGAAAACGGGCAUUGGAAUGAUCAAGUUUACAAUUACCAUUUCCUUCACAAUAAGCUAAGCAUGAUUAUGUAACAGAUGUCGGCAUAAUUUUGGAUACAGUGGGUAAGGAACUAGACGAAGUAUUUUAAUUAACCUUUGAGGGUGAAAUUUAAAAUGCACUGGUAGUCAAUUGUUUAAUUUGAAAAUUUUCUUUUUCCAUUCCAGUUUUCGAAAAUCCGACUAAAAUAGACUGAAAGGAACGGAUAAAUAACUAAAAUGGCUUUCAAAUAUGACCGGAUAUUAAUGGAACCAUGACCCUGACUCGCCUCUCCUGCUCAGUUGGUAUAACCAAAUGUGGUGUGUGUUAUUCAACAUGUCUAAUCAUCAUAUUGGACCAAUUCUACGCUAGAAUGGAGGAGCUACGGAUCCCAUACCCGGCCAGUUGUGGAGUUGUCUAAGAACUGCCAACGCUCGUCGCUAACUACCCAGCGGACCACCUGCUUUCUUGGCCCCUCAGCCCUGCGAAUCUCCAAAAAUAUAAUGACGAUACUCUAGCUGGCAACUCUUGGCAAGCUUACAUACUCCUCAAUAAGCCCCACCAGUCUGUAGCUUGUUCUAGACUAAUCUAUAUGGUACUGUCUUGGCCAGACAGUUUUCUGUAUAUAAUAUGACCUAUGAUGGCAUGUGACUUUUGGAUAAAUAAAGCACUCAAAUGCA